CCCGCUGAACUUAAGCAUAUCAAUAAGCGGAGGAAAAGAAACUAACAAGGAUUCCCCUAGUAACUGCGAGUGAACCGGGAAAAGCUCAAAUUUUGAAUCUGGCGGUCUUUACGGUCGUCCGAGUUGUAAUCUAGAGAAGCGUCUUCCGCGCUGGACCGUGUAUAAGUUUCCUGGAAUGGAACGUCGUAGAGGGUGACAAUCCCGUCUUUGACACGGACUCCCAGGGCUAUGUGAUGCGCUCUCGACGAGUCGAGUUGUUUGGGAAUGCAGCUCAAGUAGGGUGGUAAAUUCCAUCUAAAGCUAAAUACAGGCGAGAGACCGAUAGCGAACAAGUACCGUGAGGGAAAGAUGAAAAGAACUUUGGAAAGAGAGUUAAACAGUACGUGAAAUUGCUGAAAGGGAAACGCUUGAUGUCAGUCGCGUCGGCCGGGGAUCAGCCUUGCUCUUUUGCUCGGCGUACUUCCUGGUCGACGGGUCAGCAUCGGUUUCGAUCGUCGGAGAAUGGCUCGAGGAAUGUGGCACUCUUCGGAGUGUGUUAUAGACUCGGGUCGAAUACGACGCUCGGGACCGAGGAACUCAGCACGACCUUCACCGGUUCGGAGCUUCGGCUCACGUUAACGUGCUUAGGAUGCUGGCAUAAUGGCUUUAAGCGACCCGUCUUGAAACACGG
rnacentral:rRNA from 1 species